rnacentral:rRNA from 1 species
AUGUUAUUUAAUACACCACAGAAUAAUUUGAGCAAAUUCGAUCGUAGCAGGUCUAAACAUGCAAGAUUAGCAUCACAAAUCAUAGCUUCUAUAACAUCAGAGUCCAUAGCAUCAGAGGUCGUACCUUUCGCAGUGUGUGAGUUUCUCAUUCCAGCACACAUACAUUGUCAUGUACCAGCUGUUUGUAGAGCUCAUCCCAGUGAGAAUUUGUAUCUUCUUUAG